rnacentral:rRNA from 1 species
GGAGGUUGGCUUAGAAGCAGCCAUCCUUUAAAGAAAGCGUAACAGCUCACUGGUCCAUUUGGGGUCCCCAUUGCUUCGGCAAUGGGGUACUCUUGCGAUCCUGCGCCGAAAAUAUAACGGGGCUAAAAUAGACACCGAAGCUGUAGGUACGGAUUACUGAUUGCAGAUUGCGGAUUGCGGAGGAAGUAAAUUGAGAGAUGAGAGUGCAAAAUUAGAUGUUGAGAAUUUGCAAAUUUAUCAAAUGGCAUUUAGACUAAUGAUAAAAAUUCAUAAAACAAGCUUGAGAUUUCCCAAAAUCGAGCAAUAUGGUGGAGUAGCCGAUCAAUUGAGACGGAGCUCUAAAUCAAUUGCUGCAAAUAUAGUUGAGGGGUUUGGGAAGCAGAGAUUUUAUAAAGAUGAAUUUAAAAGAAUGUUGGUCUAUGCUAUAGGAAGUUGUGAUGAGACAAUGCUAUGGAUCAAGACAUCUAAGGAGCUGGGAUAUAUAAGUAAUGAGCUUAUGCAAGAGUAUAUAAGCGAAUAUAAAAUCCUAGUAAAAAAACUUUCUGUAUUUACUUCGAAUUUGAAAGUGAAAUGAAGCUUCUUCCGUAAUCCGUAAUCCGUAUUCGGUUAUCCGUGCGGUAGCGGAGCGUUCCUGUCAGCGUUGAAGCCAUACCGGUAAGGAGUGGUGGAGCGGCAGGAAGUGAGCAUGCAGGCAUGAGUAGCGAUAAAACAGGUGAGAAUCCUGUUCGCCGAAAACCCAAGGUUUCCUACACGAUGCUCGUCAAUGUAGGGUUAGUCGGGUCCUAAGCUGAGUCCGAAAGGGGUAAGCGAUGGCAAAUCGGUUAAUAUUCCGAUACCGACCAUAGAGCGCGAUGGGGGGACGCAUAGGGCUAGCCGAGGUCACUGAUGGAAUAGUGGCUCGAAGGGAGUAGGUUGAGAUACAGGCAAAUCCGUAUCUCUAUAUCCGAGACCCGACAGGCUCCCUGAACUCUUCGGAGGGAUGGGAGAAUCGGUGAUGCCGUCGUGCCGAGAAAAGCCUCUAAGUUUAUCUAUGGUUGCCCGUACCGUAAACCGACACAGGUGGGUGAGAUGAGUAUUCUAAGGCGCGUGGAAGAACCCUGGUUAAGGAACUCUGCAAACUAGCACCGUAUCUUCGGUAUAAGGUGUGCCUAUGAGAAUAGGUCGCAGCAAAGAGUCCCUGCCGACUGUUUAGCAAAAACACAGCACUCUGCUAACUCGCAAGAGGAUGUAUAGGGUGUGACGCCUGCCCGGUGCUGGAAGGUUAAAAGGAUCUGUUAGAGCAAUCGAAGCAGUGAAUUGAAGCCCCAGUAAACGGCGGCCGUAACUAUAACGGUCCUAAGGUAGCGAAAUUCCUUGUCGGGUAAGUUCCGACCUGCACGAAUGGCGUAACGAGGGCCACACUGUCUCCACCCGAGACUCAGUGAAAUUGAAAUUGCUGUUAAGAUGCAGUAUACCCGCGGCCAGACGGAAAGACCCCGUGCACCUUUACUACAGCUUUGCAUUGAACUCUGAUCCUACCUGUGUAGGAUAGGUGGGAGACUUUGAAACUUUAACGCUAGUUAGAGUGGAGUCAUCCUUGAAAUACCACCCUGGUAUGGUUGGGGUUCUAACCUUGGUCCGUUAUCCGGAUUGGGGACAAUGCAUGGUGGGUAGUUUGACUGGGGCGGUCUCCUCCCAAAGAGUAACGGAGGAGCGCAAAGGUACCCUCAGCACGGUCGGACAUCGUGCAAUGAGCGCAAAGGUAAAAGGGUGCUUGACUGCGAGACUGACACGUCGAGCAGGUAGGAAACUAGGUCUUAGUGAUCCGGUGGUUCUGAGUGGAAGGACCAUCGCUCAACGGAUAAAAGGUACGCCGGGGAUAACAGGCUGAUACCGCCCAAGAGUUCACAUCGACGGCGGUGUUUGGCACCUCGAUGUCGGCUCAUCACAUCCUGGGGCUGAAGCAGGUCCCAAGGGUAUGGCUGUUCGCCAUUUAAAGUGGUACGCGAGCUGGGUUUAGAACGUCGUGAGACAGUUCGGUCCCUAUCUACCGUGGGCGUUGGAGACUUGAGGGAAGCUGUUCUUAGUACGAGAGGACCGGAAUGGACACACCUCUGGUGUUUCGGUUAUGACGCCAGUCGUAUUGCCGAGUAGCUAUGUGUGGAAAGGAUAACCGCUGAAAGCAUCUAAGCGGGAAGCCCCUCCCAAGAUUAGGUCUCCCUGACAGUUUAACUGUCCUAAAGAUCCCUCGGAGACUACGAGGUUGAUAGGCACGGUGUGGAAGAGUAGUGAUACUUGAAGCUAACGUGUACUAAUUGAUCGUGAGGCUUGACCAU